UUUUUAAAACUGAACUGAUAACCAAACUGAAAAAAACGUUUGGAUGAUGGGUUAAUAUGGUUAGGCUGAGUUCAGGUCAAUUGAAUAACAUAAAACUAGAUUUGACCUGAGCUUUCAAAGCGCAUAAUUAUUUUUGAUUUAACAUAAAAUUUUAUAAAACAAAAAAUGAUUUCUUACCUAAUGGAUAUAUUUUUAAAUUAUUUCUAUAAUUUAAUUAAUUUAUUUUAUUAGGUUAAUUAAAUUUAUUCUUAAUUUGACCUGUUUCGCAUUAGUUUUAAUUUUAUUUUAAAAUUUGUUAAAUUGGUUUGAAUUAUUUAUAUUGUUAACCAGUUCCAUAUUAGUCAAAUUUUGUUAAAACUUUUAUAAUAAAAAUGACUUAAUAUGUUUGUUAAAUACUUAUUUUAUUUGAUUGAUACUUUACAUGUUUAAUUAAGCUUGAGCAUUUUACUCGGAUCCAAAAAUUCAACUUGAAACCAACCUGAAAUCGAAUAAAAAUUUAUAAGUACUUAGUUUGGUCUAAAAUUCUUUUACUCAAAAGAAAUAGAACCGAAAAAAACUGACUCAAUAUACUCAUGCCAAUAAGAAUUGAUUCAUACCCGACCCAAGAACAUGAAUAUCUAAGACUAUGAUUCCACGUGUUUUAUCUUUAUAUAUUUUAAUUUAUUAUUAAGUUGUAAUGUAUUUUUUAAUUGUUAUUAUUAUUUUGUAAUAUUUUCAAGUAAGAUUAAGAUUUAAAUGUAAAGUUUAGAGUUUGAAAAUGUUUAAUAAAAAUUAUUAGUAGUUUAUUAUUAGUUAUUUUGCAAAAGUUUAGAUGAAUAUGAUAAAUUUUGAUGUGUUUGAGUAUUUCGGUGUUUUGGGUGUUUUCGGGUUCUAAAUAGAAUCCGAACCCGCUAUGAACCCAAAAAUUAUAAAUAUUUUAUGUGUGUUUUAAUUAUAGAUUCAAAACAAGUGAGCACUCAAAAGAAACUGAUCAAAACUUUAAAUACCUAGUUAGAUCCAACUGUCUAAAAUCCAAAGAAACUUAUCCUAAAAAGAAUCAAACCAAACCAAAUCCAAAGUUCCAAACGCUCGUGCUUAGGUUUAAUAGAGUAACCCACAAAAUAUAAUUUUAGAAUCCGUGAAUCCAUGUUAUUUUAUGCAUACAAUUACUUAAUUUGAUUCUCUUAUAGAACAGUUAUUUAUUAUUUAUUAUUAUUUUUAAUUGAUUCAUGAAUUUUUAUUUUAUUGGUUUAAAUUUUAAUAUGAUUUGAAAACUGUAUAUUAUUACUGAUUUUUACUCAUGGGCUGUUGGGUAAUUUUAUAUCAAGAUAAUAACAAAUAUUUAUAACUAUAUAUUAUUCAGCUAACAAAUAAUAUUAUUAUUUUUGUCUAAAACUAACAAAUAUUAUUGAAAGUGGAUUUGUAUUUGGGUUGCAUAAGUGUCCUUAUUAAUAAUGAUUGUAUAGGUGGAAUAGUUAGUCAUUAUCAAAAGAAGUGGUUAAUUAUCAUUAUCGCAGUAUGCAACUCCCGUAUCUUAGCAUUAGUUGAAUUUAAAAAAAAAUGAAAAUUGGGUUAAUUAAGAGCAAACGUAUCUUAAUUAGGGGAAGGAAGACACCGUCUUUUGAGACACGUGUUGUGUUGUGGGUGUUCAGAAGCAAACCGUGUCUCUCUCCCUUCUUCGAUUUCGUCGACGACUCCGACGGCUAUUUCUUCAUCUCUCAACGAUCUGAUGAUCUCCUCGGCAACUCCGCGUCUCUGUCGGUCUCCUCUCUCUCCGUUCCAUUAAAGCAAUCACACGGCAAAGGAAUCACAAGACUCGUACCGACAUCAAGAGACUCGAUAUCCGGAUUGGCCACCUGAAUCUGCUCCGGGGAGACGGGACCGCCGUAAACAGAGCCGUAAUACAUGAUCAGAUUCUUUUAAGUUGUUGUAGAAUCAGAGAGCUCCGUAAUACAUUUCAUCCAUGGCUUCUCCUUUUUUUUUAGAGCAUCGUCCAGCUUCACUCGAUACUACAGCAGAUCCACCCGCUCUGUUCGACGGAACCACAAGAUUGUACACAAGCUACGGUUGCCCAUAUGCUCAACGUGUUUGGAUCACCAGAAAUUUCAAGGGUCUGCAAGAAAAGAUUAAACUUGUUCCUUUGGAUCUUGGGAAUAGGCCUGCUUGGUACAAGGAGAAAGUCUAUCCUGAAAACAAGGUGCCAGCACAUGAGCACAAUGGCAAAAUCAUAGGGGAGAGUUUUGAUUUGAUCAAGUAUCUCGACAACACUUUUAAAUCAUCUUCCUCACCAAUCAAAUGGUGUCUUUGUCUGGUUCCUAAAUUAAUGAGAUGGACGUAGAGAACACUGAUGAGAUAAGAUGGACGUAGGAAGACGCCAUUUGAUUGGUGAGAAUGUUACUGCGCUCACUGUACUGGGGGUCCUCUGUUUCAACAGCGACCGUAUCCAUCACCUGGAGCUGUUCUGAGGAGAAACGCAGAGACGGCAUCGUCGCAGAAGAAGAAACCAAACUCUCAUUUCACGGAAAUCACAAAGAGAGGCGAUGGAAAAGAUGGUCUUGGUGAUGCAGAUUGAGAAAGAGAGAGAGAGACUUAUUCUUGCCCUGUAUGUUUGAUUAUCUCCAUAUACAUGUAUGACCUUGAGAGUAGUUUGUUUACUCAAUUUUUUUUUAAGAACUCUUCGAUAAGAGACUUGCAAUGAAACACGUAAUUUUUCGGAUC